GGUUAAGCGACUAAGCGUACACGGUGGAUGCCCUGGCAGUCAGAGGCGAUGAAGGACGUGCUAAUCUGCGAUAAGCGUCGGUAAGGUGAUAUGAACCGUUAUAACCGGCGAUUUCCGAAUGGGGAAACCCAGUGUGUUUCGACACACUAUCAUUAACUGAAUCCAUAGGUUAAUGAGGCGAACCGGGGGAACUGAAACAUCUAAGUACCCCGAGGAAAAGAAAUCAACCGAGAUUCCCCCAGUAGCGGCGAGCGAACGGGGAGCAGCCCAGAGCCUGAAUCAGUGUGUGUGUUAGUGGAAGCGUCUGGAAAGGCGUGCGAUACAGGGUGACAGCCCCGUACACAAAAAUGCACAUGCUGUGAGCUCGAUGAGUAGGGCGGGACACGUGGUAUCCUGUCUGAAUAUGGGGGGACCAUCCUCCAAGGCUAAAUACUCCUGACUGACCGAUAGUGAACCAGUACCGUGAGGGAAAGGCGAAAAGAACCCCGGCGAGGGGAGUGAAAAAGAACCUGAAACCGUGUACGUACAAGCAGUGGGAGCACGCUUAGGCGUGUGACUGCGUACCUUUUGUAUAAUGGGUCAGCGACUUAUAUUCUGUAGCAAGGUUAACCGAAUAGGGGAGCCGAAGGGAAACCGAGUCUUAACUGGGCGUUAAGUUGCAGGGUAUAGACCCGAAACCCGGUGAUCUAGCCAUGGGCAGGUUGAAGGUUGGGUAACACUAACUGGAGGACCGAACCGACUAAUGUUGAAAAAUUAGCGGAUGACUUGUGGCUGGGGGUGAAAGGCCAAUCAAACCGGGAGAUAGCUGGUUCUCCCCGAAAGCUAUUUAGGUAGCGCCUCGUGAAUUCAUCUCCGGGGGUAGAGCACUGUUUCGGCAAGGGGGUCAUCCCGACUUACCAACCCGAUGCAAACUGCGAAUACCGGAGAAUGUUAUCACGGGAGACACACGGCGGGUGCUAACGUCCGUCGUGAAGAGGGAAACAACCCAGACCGCCAGCUAAGGUCCCAAAGUCAUGGUUAAGUGGGAAACGAUGUGGGAAGGCCCAGACAGCCAGGAUGUUGGCUUAGAAGCAGCCAUCAUUUAAAGAAAGCGUAAUAGCUCACUGGUCGAGUCGGCCUGCGCGGAAGAUGUAACGGGGCUAAACCAUGCACCGAAGCUGCGGCAGCGACACUAUGUGUUGUUGGGUAGGGGAGCGUUCUGUAAGCCUGUGAAGGUGUACUGUGAGGUAUGCUGGAGGUAUCAGAAGUGCGAAUGCUGACAUAAGUAACGAUAAAGCGGGUGAAAAGCCCGCUCGCCGGAAGACCAAGGGUUCCUGUCCAACGUUAAUCGGGGCAGGGUGAGUCGACCCCUAAGGCGAGGCCGAAAGGCGUAGUCGAUGGGAAACAGGUUAAUAUUCCUGUACUUGGUGUUACUGCGAAGGGGGGACGGAGAAGGCUAUGUUGGCCGGGCGACGGUUGUCCCGGUUUAAGCGUGUAGGCUGGUUUUCCAGGCAAAUCCGGAAAAUCAAGGCUGAGGCGUGAUGACGAGGCACUACGGUGCUGAAGCAACAAAUGCCCUGCUUCCAGGAAAAGCCUCUAAGCAUCAGGUAACAUCAAAUCGUACCCCAAACCGACACAGGUGGUCAGGUAGAGAAUACCAAGGCGCUUGAGAGAACUCGGGUGAAGGAACUAGGCAAAAUGGUGCCGUAACUUCGGGAGAAGGCACGCUGAUAUGUAGGUGAAGUCCCUCGCGGAUGGAGCUGAAAUCAGUCGAAGAUACCAGCUGGCUGCAACUGUUUAUUAAAAACACAGCACUGUGCAAACACGAAAGUGGACGUAUACGGUGUGACGCCUGCCCGGUGCCGGAAGGUUAAUUGAUGGGGUUAGCCGCAAGGCGAAGCUCUUGAUCGAAGCCCCGGUAAACGGCGGCCGUAACUAUAACGGUCCUAAGGUAGCGAAAUUCCUUGUCGGGUAAGUUCCGACCUGCACGAAUGGCGUAAUGAUGGCCAGGCUGUCUCCACCCGAGACUCAGUGAAAUUGAACUCGCUGUGAAGAUGCAGUGUACCCGCGGCAAGACGGAAAGACCCCGUGAACCUUUACUAUAGCUUGACACUGAACAUUGAGCCUUGAUGUGUAGGAUAGGUGGGAGGCUUUGAAGUGUGGACGCCAGUCUGCAUGGAGCCGACCUUGAAAUACCACCCUUUAAUGUUUGAUGUUCUAACGUUGACCCGUAAUCCGGGUUGCGGACAGUGUCUGGUGGGUAGUUUGACUGGGGCGGUCUCCUCCUAAAGAGUAACGGAGGAGCACGAAGGUUGGCUAAUCCUGGUCGGACAUCAGGAGGUUAGUGCAAUGGCAUAAGCCAGCUUGACUGCGAGCGUGACGGCGCGAGCAGGUGCGAAAGCAGGUCAUAGUGAUCCGGUGGUUCUGAAUGGAAGGGCCAUCGCUCAACGGAUAAAAGGUACUCCGGGGAUAACAGGCUGAUACCGCCCAAGAGUUCAUAUCGACGGCGGUGUUUGGCACCUCGAUGUCGGCUCAUCACAUCCUGGGGCUGAAGUAGGUCCCAAGGGUAUGGCUGUUCGCCAUUUAAAGUGGUACGCGAGCUGGGUUUAGAACGUCGUGAGACAGUUCGGUCCCUAUCUGCCGUGGGCGCUGGAGAACUGAGGGGGGCUGCUCCUAGUACGAGAGGACCGGAGUGGACGCAUCACUGGUGUUCGGGUUGUCAUGCCAAUGGCACUGCCCGGUAGCUAAAUGCGGAAGAGAUAAGUGCUGAAAGCAUCUAAGCACGAAACUUGCCCCGAGAUGAGUUCUCCCUGACUCCUUGAGAGUCCUGAAGGAACGUUGAAGACGACGACGUUGAUAGGCCGGGUGUGUAAGCGCAGCGAUGCGUUGAGCUAACCGGUACUAAUGAACCGUGAGGCUUAACCUU
rnacentral:rRNA from 1 species